CCUACGGGGGGCUGCAGUAACGAAUCUUGGGCAAUGGGCGAAAGCCUGACCCAGCGACGCCGCGUGCGGGAGGAAGUCCUUCGGGAUGUAAACCGCUGUCAGGGGUAAGAAAGUCCGCUUCGGCGGAUUGAUCGAACCCAGAGGAAGUCACGGCUAACUCUGUGCCAGCAGCCGCGGUAAGACAGAGGUGGCUAGCGUUGUUCGGUAUCACUGGGCUUAAAGCGUGUGUAGGCGGGAGCGUAAGCAUUUUGUGAAAUCCCCCGGCUCAACCGGGGCAUUGCUUGAUGUACUGCGUUCCUUGAGGCAAGUAGGGGUGCGAGGAACUCUUGGUGGAGCGGUGGAAUGCGUAGAUAUCAAGAGGAACGCCGAUGGUGAAGACAUCGCACUAGGCUUGUCCUGACGCUGAGACACGAAAGCGUGGGGAGCGAACGGGAUUAGAUACCCUUGUAGUC
rnacentral:rRNA from 1 species